GUAGGGAAUAUUGGGCAAUGGAUGCAAGUCUGACCCAGCCAUCCCGCGUGCCGGAAGAAGGCCCUCAGGGUUGUAAACGGCUUUUGACGGUGAAGAAUCGACAGGAUGCGUCCUGUUUUGACGGUAGCCGUUGAAUAAGCACCGGCUAACUCCGUGCCAGCAGCCGCGGUAAUACGGAGGGUGCGAGCGUUGUCCGGAUUUAUUGGGUUUAAAGGGUGCGUAGGCUGGAAGGUCAGUCAGCGGUGAAAAGCUAUCGCUUAACGAUAGUCUUGCCGCAGAUACUUCCUUUCGUGGAUGAGGAGGAGGCCACUGGAACGGAUGGUGUAGCGGUGAAAUGCAUAGAUAUCAUCCAGAACACCGAUUGCGAAGGCAGGUGGCUGUACCUUAAUCGACGCUGAUGCACGAAAGCAUGGGGAGCAAACAGGAUUAGAUACCCCGGUAGUCC
rnacentral:rRNA from 1 species